AGUGAACGCUGGCGGCGUGCUUAACGCAUGCAAGUCGAACGAGAACGGAUUAUAGCUUGCUAUAAUUGUCAGCUAAGUGGCGCACGGGUGAGUAAUGUAUAGGUAAUAUGCCUCUUACUAAGGGAUAACAAAUGGAAACGUUUGCUAAUACCUCAUACUCCUUAUUAACAGAAGUUAAUAAGGGAAAGAUUUAUUGGUAAGAGAUUAGCCUGUAUUGUAUCAGUUAGUUGGUGGGGUAAUGGCUUACCAAGACUAUGACACAUAACUGGUUUGAGAGGAUGAUCAGUCACACUGGAACUGAGACACGGUCCAGACUCCUACGGGAGGAAGCAGUGGGGAAUAUUGCACAAUGGACGAAAGUCUGAUGCAGCAACGCCGCGUGGAGGAUGACACAUUUCGGUGCGUAAACUCCUUUUAUAUGAGAAGAUAAUGACGGUAUUAUAUGAAUAAGCACCGGCUAACUCCGUGCCAGCCGCCGCGGUAA
rnacentral:rRNA from 1 species